rnacentral:rRNA from 1 species
UACGUAGGGUGCGAGCGUUGUCCGGAAUUACUGGGCGUAAAGAGCUUGUAGGUGGUUUGUCGCGUCGUCUGUGAAAUUCCGGGGCUUAACUCCGGGCGUGCAGGCGAUACGGGCAUAACUUGAGUACUGUAGGGGAGACUGGAAUUCCUGGUGUAGCGGUGAAAUGCGCAGAUAUCAGGAGGAACACCGGUGGCGAAGGCGGGUCUCUGGGCAGUAACUGACGCUGAGGAGCGAAAGCAUGGGGAGCGAACAGGAUUAGAUACCCUGGUAGUCAAGGGCGAAUUCGUU